UACGGGGGGGGCAAGCGUUGUUCGGAAUUACUGGGCGUAAAGGGCUCGUAGGCGGCCAACUAAGUCGGAUGUGAAAUCCCCAGGCUUAACCUGGGAACUGCAUCCGAUACUGGAUGGCUUGAAUCCGGGAGAGGGAUGCAGAAUUCCAGGUGUAGCGGUGAAAUGCGUAGAUAUCUGGAGGAAUACCGGUGGCGAAGGCGGCGUUCUGGACUGCAACUGACACUGAUGAACGAAAGCCAGGGGAGCAAACGGG
rnacentral:rRNA from 1 species